GACGAAGGAUGCAAGCGUUAUCCGGAUUCAUUGGGUUUAAAGGGAGCGUAGGUGGUCUUAUAAGUCAGUGGUGAAAUCCUGGCGUUAACCCAGAAAUUGCCAUUGAUACUGUAGGACUUGAGUAUAGUUGCCGUUGGCGGAAUAUGACAUGUAGUGGUGAAAUACAUAGAGAUGUCAUAGAACACCGAUUGCGAAGGCAGCUAACGAAACUAUAACUGACACUGAGGCUCGAAAGUGCGGGGAUCAAACAGG
rnacentral:rRNA from 1 species